rnacentral:rRNA from 1 species
UACGAAGGGUGCAAGCGUUACUCGGAAUUACUGGGCGUAAAGCGUGCGUAGGUGGUGAGUUAAGUCUGUCGUGAAAGCCCCGGGCUCAACCUGGGAAUGGCGAUGGAUACUGGCUCGCUAGAGUGCGGUAGAGGAGAGUGGAAUUCCCGGUGUAGCAGUGAAAUGCGUAGAGAUCGGGAGGAACAUCAGUGGCGAAAGCGGCCACCUGGACUGUACCUGACGCUAACACGCGAAAGCUAGGGGAGCGAACGGG